rnacentral:tRNA from 1 species
AGCUUUUUAGUUUAUUAAAAAUAUUUGUUUGUGGUACAAAAGAUAUUAAGGCUAU